GCGGCGGUCGUCUAGCCAGGACUAGGACACGGGCCUCCCGAGCCCGUUACCCGGGUUCAAAUCCCGGCCGCCGCACCA
rnacentral:tRNA from 2 species